rnacentral:rRNA from 1 species
AUGCCGCGUGUGUGAAGAAGGCCUUAGGGUUGUAAAGCACUUUCAGUAGGGAGGAAAAGUUUAAGGUUAAUAACCUUAGGCCCUGACGUUACCUACAGAAGAAGCACCGGCUAACUCCGUGCCAGCAGCCGCGGUAAUACGGAGGGUGCAAGCGUUAAUCGGAAUUACUGGGCGUAAAGCGCGCGUAGGCGGUUAAACAAGUCAGAUGUGAAAGCCCCGGGCUCAACCUGGGAACUGCAUUUGAAACUGUUUAGCUAGAGUGUGGUAGAGGAGAGUGGAAUUUCAGGUGUAGCGGUGAAAUGCGUAGAUAUCUGAAGGAACACCAGUGGCGAAGGCGGCUCUCUGGACCAACACUGACGCUGAGGUGCGAAAGCGUGGGUAGCAAACGGGAUUAGAUACCCCGGUAGUCCACGCCGUAAACGAUGUCAACUAACUGUUGGGCGGGUUUCCGCUUAGUGGUGCAGCUAACGCAAUAAGUUGACCGCCUGGGGAGUACGGCCGCAAGGCUAAAACUCAAAUGAAUUGACGGGGGCCCGCACAAGCGGUGGAGCAUGUGGUUUAAUUCGAUGCAACGCGAAGAACCUUACCUACCCUUGACAUACAGAGAACUUUCUAGAGAUAGAUUGGUGCCUUCGGGAACUCUGAUACAGGUGCUGCAUGGCUGUCGUC